ACUGCUCAGUAACACGUGGACAACCUACCCAAAGGUCUGGGAUAACUCCGGGAAACUGGGGAUAAUACCGGAUAGGUCAAGAGUACUGGAAGGGUUUUUUGAUUGAAAGCUCUGGCGCCUUUGGAUGGGUCUGCGGCUGAUUAGGUUGACGCCGGUGUAAAGUACCGGCGUGCCGAUUAUCAGUACGGGUUGUGGGAGCAAGAGCCCGGAGAUGGAUUCUGAGACACGAAUCCAGGCCCUACGGGGCGCAGCAGGCGCGAAAACUCUACAAUGCAGGCAACUGCGAUAGGGGAACAUCGAGUGGCAUCUACAUUAGGUGUCUGUCCAGCUGUCUAAAAAACGGCUGUUAGCAAGGGCCGGGCAAGACCGGUGCCAGCCGCCGCGGUAAUACCGGCGGCUCGAGUGGUGGCCGAUAUUAUUGAGUCUAAAGGGUCCGUAGCCGGCUUUGCAAGUCUUGUGGGAAAUCCAGCGGCUUAACCGUUGGGCGUCUGCGGGAUACUACAUUGCUUGGGACUGGGAGAGGUAGGAGGUACUCAGGGGGUAGGAGUGAAAUCCUGUAAUCCUCUGGGGACCACCGGUGGCGAAGGCGUCCUACCAGAACAGGUCCGACGGUGAGGGACGAAAGCUAGGGGCACGAACCGGAUUAGAUACCCGGGUAGUCCUAGCCGUAAACGGUGCCCGCUAGGUGUCACGGCAGUCGUGAACUGCCGUGGUGCCGUAGGGAAGCCGUGAAGCGGGCCACUUGGGAAGUACGACCGCAAGGUUGAAACUUAAAGGAAUUGGCGGGGGAGCAC
rnacentral:rRNA from 1 species